AAGAAGAAGAAGGAAGUGUAGUGUAGUUUAUUAAUAUUCAUGAGGUGCAGUAGGAUUAGUGAAGGUCUCUUGUGCAUUAUGAUUUAUCUUCAUGGCAGCUUGUUUAGGUAAAAAAUGCGUCGCUAUAUUCGCGCGUUGCUCGUUUGCACGUUAUUCAUCUUCGGUUCGCUCUUGUACACAUUUAAUCAACUCGUGUCGUCGCUGGAGAGCGACAGUCAUCAGGCGCGAGCACACCGGACACGCGCAGCAGAUCCGGGGCCACGCGAGAGCAAUGACAGGUGUAAUUCAGGUUUGGUCACACAUUGGGACCCAUAUCAGAUGACGCCCUCUGCUGUAUGUGGACAGAACUGCUUUAUGGAGACGGCUGUUAGGUACAUGCCCGUUCCAGCGUCCGUGGGACAUCAGCGAUCAGAGCCCGUCAGACUGGCUGUAGUGACGUGUGGUUCUCGACUGAACGAAUCUCUUACUAUGCUAAAAUCUGCCGUCCUCUUCAGCUACACAAAUCUUCACUUUUAUAUUUUCGCAGAGGAUGAGUUACACGUCGGAUUCAGACGGAUGCUGGAGUCGUGGCCGCCGAAAUAUCGCUCCAAGUUUAACUACAGCAUGUAUCCCAUCACAUUCCCCAGUGAGAACGGCAAAGAGUGGAAGAAACUCUUUAAACCGUGUGCAUCCCAAAGACUUUUUCUUCCUCUGAUCCUGAAGGAAGUGGACUCUUUACUGUAUGUGGACACGGACAUCUUGUUCCUGCGGCCGGUGGAGGACCUCUGGAAGUUUCUUUCAGGCUUUAACGGCAGUCACGUGGCUGCCAUGGCCCCGGAGCACGAGGAGCCACGGAUCGGCUGGUACAAUCGUUUCGCUCGACACCCGUACUACGGCCGGACCGGAGUAAACUCAGGAGUCAUGCUGAUGAACCUGACACGAAUCAGAGCUAAAUAUUUUAAGAAUGACAUGACAACAGUGAAUCUGAAGUGGGAUGAGCUGUUGAUGCCUUUACUACACAAAUAUAAACUCAACAUCACCUGGGGUGACCAAGACCUGCUUAACAUCAUAUUUCACUAUAAUCCAGAGAGUCUGUUGGUGUUCCCGUGUCAUUGGAAUUACCGUCCGGAUCACUGUAUCUACGGCAGUAACUGUGUCUCCGCCGAACAUCACGGCAUUUACAUUCUCCACGGAAACCGAGGGGUUUAUCACGACGACAAGCAACCGGUAUUCAGAGCCGUAUAUGAUGUCAUUCAGAAGUAUCCGUUUGGAGGAGAUGCAGUCCACGGUUUACUUCUCCCGCUGGAGGAAAAGUUAAAGGACACAGAGCACACGUACUGCGGAAGAGUCCGGCACAUCUUCACCAAACAAUUACAAGAAAGUGUCAAAGGAUUACAGAGAGAUCGAGAGAAAACAAGAUGAGUUUUUAAAACCAAAACCAUCAGAAACUGACAAUCAUUCAACACAAAUACACAUAAUCUUACUUCUAAACACUGAGAUCUGUUGAAUAUCUUUCAUAUGACAGAGACUACCUCAUUACAUCACUGACCAGCGAUCAGUUUUAAACACAAACUGUGACAGAAUUCACUUCAGUGUUGUGUAUGAACUACAGGAGACUACAAACACACACACGUGUCCUAAUAAAAUACAUCUGCCACAUGUUACUGUUGUUCAAAGAUUUAAAGUAUUGAUGACUACACAGAUUUGUGUCUAAUGAAAGUCUCUUCAGGUGUCAUCAGCACCAAAACUAUUUCCUAAUAGACACAUUAACUCAGAAAGCAACUAGCUGUGUAUGUCUGGUAAAUAAUACACCAACACAUGACUGUGAACUGAACCAAUGAGGUUUUAUUGUGCCAUUGCAGGGAAUUUAUAAAUGAAAUGCUCUCAUCACUUUAUUGUGUCACUCACGUCUGGAUAGGAUGAAAUGUGACGGGUACAGAUGGUUAAAGGACAAUCUCUCUUCAUGCAGGAAUUUUUCAGAGAUACAGAUGGUGAAGUGAUGCUGCCCACGACUGAAUCACACCUGUGACUGAAUCACACCCGCAGACAAACAUAGAUGAUGAUGAUGAUGAUGAACGUGCUGUAAAUCUGUGAAGGUGUCAGAUCUUCAGAAGGAAUUAAAAGACAGACAGACAGAAAUAAGAGGUUUUCAAUCAUGAUGGUCCAGACCGGACCGGUGGUGAUCUUUGACCUCCGGCUGCAGGACUACAGCUUUUAAUCAAUGACUCACACGUGCUGGUUUCAUUGUUUUACAUUGAAUCUAAUGACGGUCUUCAGUAUGAUUGAUUGAAGCGAUCGUCCACUCAUGAAGUUCAGAAGAGACGCCUGGAGGGAGAAAUCCAAACCCUGACGUAUGAAUCAGAACCAACUUUGGGUUUACAGGCUGAUGUCUUUUUAAACAUCAACAAAACUACAGCACAAGGAAACAUGAUUACAGAUGCCUUCAGACAAACAGCAGCAGUGAAUGAUGACGGAUGCUGUUUGAUGGUCUCUGCAGAUGAAGUGUAAUGAAGCACAGAAGCAUCAGAACCUCACAGUCGUCUCAC